AAAAAGUAGCUUAUACAAAGCAUUUGGUUUACACCCUGAAGAUAUUGCCUCAAUCUUUUUGA
rnacentral:tRNA from 1 species